GGAGAGAUGGCAGAGCGGCCGAUUGCGUCGGUCUUGAAAACCGAAGUACCCGCGAGGGUACCGGGGGUUCGAAUCCCUCUCUCUCCGCCA
rnacentral:tRNA from 1 species